rnacentral:rRNA from 1 species
UUCCAGACUCCUACGGGAGGCAGCAGUGGGGAAUAUUGCACAAUGGGGGAAACCCUGAUGCAGCGACGCCGCGUGAGUGAAGAAGUAAUUCGUUAUGUAAAGCUCUAUCAGCAGGGAAGAAAAUGACGGUACCUGAGUAAGAAGCCCCGGCUAACUACGUGCCAGCAGCCGCGGUAAUACGUAGGGGGCAAGCGUUAUCCGGAUUUACUGGGUGUAAAGGGAGCGUAGACGGCAGUGCAAGUCUGGAGUGAAAGACGGGGGCUCAACCCCCGGACUGCUCUGGAAACUGUACGGCUGGAGUGCAGGAGAGGUAAGUGGAAUUCCUAGUGUAGCGGUGAAAUGCGUAGAUAUUAGGAGGAACACCAGUGGCGAAGGCGGCUUACUGGACUGUAACUGACGUUGAGGCUCGAAAGCGUGGGGAGCAAACAGGAUUAGAUACCCGGGUAC